rnacentral:rRNA from 1 species
UCAGGAUUAACGCUAGCGGCAGGCUUAAUACAUGCAAGUCGAACGGUAACAGGUCCAGCAAUGGAUGCUGACGAGUGGCGCACGGGUGCGUAACACGUAUGCAAUCUACCUUUAACUGGGGGAUAGCCCCGAGAAAUCGGGAUUGAUACCCCAUAACAUUAUGAUGAGGCAUCUCAUUAUAAUUAAAGCUCCGGCGGUUUUAGAUGAGCAUGCGCGACAUUAGCUAGUUGGUGAGGUAACGGCUCACCAAGGCUGCGAUGUCUAGGGGUUCUGAGAGGAUUCACCCCCACACUGGUACUGAGACACGGACCAGACUCCUACGGGAGGCAGCAGUAAGGAAUAUUGGUCAAUGGACGCAAGUCUGAACCAGCCAUGCCGCGUGCAGGAAGACGGCCCUAUGGGUUGUAAACUGCUUUUGUACGGGAAAAAACCUUCGGUCGUGAACCGGAGCUGAUGGUACCGUAAGAAUAAGCAUCGGCUAACUCCGUGCCAGCAGCCGCGGUAAUACGGAGGAUGCAAGCGUUAUCCGGAUUCAUUGGGUUUAAAGGGUGCGCAGGCGGAAUGAUAAGUCAGUGGUGAAAUCCUAGAGCUUAACUCUAGAACUGCCAUUGAUACUGUCGUUCUUGAGUACACUUGAAGUGGGCGGAAUGUGUCAUGUAGCGGUGAAAUGCUUAGAUAUGACAAGGAACACCGAUCGCGAAGGCAGCUCACUAAAGUGCAACUGACGCUCAGGCACGAAAGCGUGGGGAUCAAACAGGAUUAGAUACCCUGGUAGUCCCCGCUGUAAACGAUGAUUACUCGAUGUUGGCGAUAUACUGUCAGCGUCUAAGCGAAAGCAUUAAGUAAUCCACCUGGGGAGUACG